UUAAAAUUAGUUAAUUUAUAAUAUAAGCCUGUCAGUCUUAAGUAAUCUAAAGAUAUUUUAAA
rnacentral:tRNA from 1 species